rnacentral:rRNA from 1 species
AUUGAACGCUGGCGGCAGGCCUAACACAUGCAAGUCGAGCGGAUGAAGGGAGCUUGCUCCUGGAUUCAGCGGCGGACGGGUGAGUAAUGCCUAGGAAUCUGCCUGGUAGUGGGGGAUAACGUCCGGAAACGGGCGCCAAUACCGCAUACGUCCUGAGGGAGAAAGUGGGGGAUCUUCGGACCUCACGCUAUCAGAUGAGCCUAGGUCGGAUUAGCUAGUUGGUGGGGUAAAGGCCUACCAAGGCGACGAUCCGUAACUGGUCUGAGAGGAUGAUCAGUCACACUGGAACUGAGACACGGUCCAGACUCCUACGGGAGGCAGCAGUGGGGAAUAUUGGACAAUGGGCGAAAGCCUGAUCCAGCCAUGCCGCGUGUGUGAAGAAGGUCUUCGGAUUGUAAAGCACUUUAAGUUGGGAGGAAGGGCAGUAAGUUAAUACCUUGCUGUUUUGACGUUACGAACAGAAUAAGCACCGGCUAACUUCGUG